GGUUGUAUAGUGUAGCGGUCAUCACACCAGAUUCUGACAAAACACUUUCAGUCAGUUCUUCUGGUAACCCCGGUUCGAUUCCGGGUACGACCU